GAUUAACGCUGGCGGCGUGCAUAACACAUGCAAGUCGAACGAUGAAACUCAUUAGAUUUCUUCGGAAUGAAACUGAAUGGAUUAGUGGCGAACGGGUGAGUAACGCGUGAGUAACCUGCCUUACACAAGGGGAUAGCCUCUGGAAACGGAGAAUAAUACCCUAUGAAACCAGACAAUCGCAUGAUAAUCUGGUCAAAAUGUUUAGUGGUGUAAGAUGGACUUGCGUCUGAUUAGCUAGUUGGUGAGAUAAAAGCUCACCAAGGCAACGAUCAGUAGCCGGCUUGGGAGAGUGUACGGCCCCAUUGGGACUGGGACACGGCCCAGACGCCGACGGGAGGCGGCGGUGAGGAAUUUUGCACAAUGGGGGAAACCCUGAUGCAGCGACGCCGCGUGAUUGAGAAGGCCUUCGGGUUGUAAAAAUCUUUUGUAUAGGAAGAAAAUGACAGUACUAUACGAAUAAGGUCCGGCUAAUUACGUG
rnacentral:rRNA from 1 species